CACUCCUACGGGAGGCAGCAGUGGGGAAUAUUGCACAAUGGGCGCAAGCCUGAUGCAGCGACGCCGCGUGGGGGAUGAAGGCCUUCGGGUUGUAAACUCCUUUCGCUAGGGACGAAGCUUUUUUGUGACGGUACCUAGAUAAGAAGCACCGGCUAACUACGUGCCAGCAGCCGCGGUAAUACGUAGGGUGCGAGCGUUGUCCGGAAUUACUGGGCGUAAAGGGCUCGUAGGUGGUUUGUCGCGUCGUCUGUGAAAUUCUGGGGCUUAACUCCGGGCGUGCAGGCGAUACGGGCAUAACUUGAGUGCUGUAGGGGUAACUGGAAUUCCUGGUGUAGCGGUGAAAUGCGCAGAUAUCAGGAGGAACACCGAUGGCGAAGGCAGGUUACUGGGCAGUUACUGACGCUGAGGAGCGAAAGCAUGGGUAGCGAACAGGAUUAGAAACCCUAGUAGUCCCAUG
rnacentral:rRNA from 1 species